rnacentral:rRNA from 1 species
UACAUGGGGUGCAAACGUUGCUCGGAAUUAUUGGGCGUAAAGCGCCCGUAGGCGGCCUGACAAGUUGGACGUGAAAGCCCCCGGCUUAACUGGGGAGGGUCAUUCGAUACUGUUUGACUUGAAGGCAGGAGAGGGCAGCAGAAUUCCCGGUGUAGUGGUGAAAUGCGUAGAUAUCGGGAGGAAUACCAGUGGCGAAGGCGGCUGCCUGGCCUGUUCUUGACGCUGAGGCGCGAAAGCUGGGGGAGCAAACGGG